rnacentral:miRNA from 1 species
UUCUAGUUCAUUUUUCGAAUC